rnacentral:rRNA from 1 species
UGGGGAAUAUUGCACAAUGGGCGAAAGCCUGAUGCAGCAACGCCGCGUGAGUGAUGAAGGUCUUCGGAUUGUAAAGCUCUGUCUUUUGGGACGAUAAUGACGGUACCAAAGGAGGAAGCCACGGCUAACUACGUGCCAGCAGCCGCGGUAAUACGUAGGUGGCGAGCGUUGUCCGGAUUUACUGGGCGUAAAGGGUGCGUAGGCGGAUGUUUAAGUGAGAUGUGAAAUACCCGGGCUUAACUUGGGUGCUGCAUUUCAAACUGGAUAUCUAGAGUGCAGGAGAGGAGAUGGAAUUCCUAGUGUAGCGGUGAAAUGCGUAGAGAUUAGGAAGAACACCAGUGGCGAAGGCGAUUCUCUGGACUGUAACUGACGCUGAGGCACGAAAGCGUGGGUAGCAAACAGGAUUAGAUACCCUGGUAGUCCACGCCGUAAACGAUGAGUACUAGGUGUAGGAGGUAUCGACCCCUUCUGUGCCGCAGUAAACAAU